GGGUCAAUGAUGACAACCCAAUGUCAUGAAGAAAGGUGAUGACAUAAAAUGCAAUCCCCAUUAAAAUUC
rnacentral:snoRNA from 2 species